rnacentral:rRNA from 1 species
UUAACAAAAACAUGUCUUUUUGAGUUAUUUUUAAAGUCUGACCUGCCCGAUGAAGUUUUUAAAUGGCCGCAGUAUUUUAACUGUGCAAAGGUAGCAUAAUCAUUAGUCUUUUAAUUGGAGGCUGGUAUGAACGGUUGGACGAGGUAUAUACUGUUUCAUAUAAAUUUAUAAUAGAAUUUUAUUUUUUAGUUAAAAAGCUAAAAUAGUAUUAAAAGACGAGAAGACCCUAUAAAUCUUUAUAUUUAGUAUAACUUAAUUUUUUUAGGUUUUUUUUGUUUUUGUUAUAUUAAAUAUUUUGUUGGGGUGAUGUUAAAAUUUAAUGAACUUUUAAUUAUUUUUAAAUCAUUUAUUUAUGAGUUGUUGAUCCAUUAUUAUUGAUUAUAAGAUUAAGUUACUUUAGGGAUAACAGCGUAAUUUUUUUGGAGAGUUCAUAUUGAUAAAAAAGUUUGCGACCUCGAUGUUGGAUUAAGAUAUAUUUUUAGGUGUAGUUGCUUAAAUAUUAAGUCUGUUCGACUUUUAAAUUCUUACGUGAUCUGAGUUC